rnacentral:SRP_RNA from 1 species
GCUGGGUGUGGUGGCACCUGCCUGUAGUCCCAGCUACUCAGAAGGCUGAGGUGGGAGGAUCGCUUGAGCCCAGGAGUUCUGGGCUGUAGUGCGUUAUGCCAAUCGGGUGUCCGCACGAAGUUUGGCAUCAAUACGGUGACCUCCCGGAAGUGGGGGACCACCAGGUUGCUUAAGGAGGAGGGGUGAACCGGCCCAGGUCGGAGAUGGAGCAGGUCAAAACUCCUGCGCUGAUCAGUAGUGGGAUCGCGCCUGUGAGUAGCCACUGCAUUCCAGCCUGAGCAACACAGCGAGUCCACGUCUCU